GACGCGCAUGAAUGGAUUAA
rnacentral:snRNA from 1 species